GCCCUUGUAGUUUAGUGGAUAAAACAAAUCCCUCCUAAGGAUUAGCCAAAGGUUCGAUUCCUUUCAAGGGCACAA
rnacentral:tRNA from 1 species